rnacentral:lncRNA from 1 species
AUUUCCAAAGUCCUUGAUUGAAAGUGUUUUUUUCUUAGCUGUUACUUUUUUUUUUUGAUUUGGUUGGUGGUUGUAAUUAUUUUUAUUUGCCGUGCAGAUGUGCCUCCCACCCCCCCAAGGAUCUCUCCUCCGGACUUAGAGAGGAGAGGAAAAGGCAGAUUUUGAGAAAUGAAAAUUAUUUAAGGAUGUCCCUGCUGCCUCUCUCUGCUGCCCUCCUCCGUAAUACAGAAGCACUUACAAAAAAUAAUACAAAGUAAAUAAAUAAAAAAAAAAAGAAGAAAUUCUCCAGCCAGAGGAACAGCAGAGAAAUAAUCGAGGACCCCUUCCAGUCCACGCGGGGAGCGAGAGAGAGGAGAAAGCUGCACAGGCCAAGCGCUCGCGGGCUGGAGCRGCCGCCGAGGACGAUCGCGGCAGCCCCGCUGCGCUCACCUGCCGGGGCAAGCCUGGAGACUAACCCGGCCCAGACCCUGCCCGGAGCUGCUUCAACCCUCCUCGCYGCGGGAUGGCAAAGGACCUGCCUUAAAAGGUAGGUUUGCCCAGGUUACCCCUUCCAAAUGUCUCGCUCCAGGACUGUGACUUCGGUAAAGGCCMAAAAGAGCUCCCAACUCUGCUGCGAGAUUCAAUGCUUGCGUUCAUCGCGACCGUGCAGUGCAUCCUCGCUGUUCCCCGAGCCCCAUCGUCCCCGGGGACCGGCGGGAGGCAGCAGCAGGAAGGGCUCUGCAGGUAGAGGUGUGACACCCACGGGAAUUAGCACACGUCUGGACUGCUCGGACGCAGUCCUUCCCCGGCCAGCCCUGUUUGCUCUCGGGCUAGGUGCUGGCAAGGCGUGAAGGGACAGCGCUUGUGGGCAGCUCGCUGCCCUCUGGGCAGACUCCCCGCCGCCAACAGCUGCGGUCAAAUCAAAGCCCGAAUGUAUAAAGCGAUGCUAAAAAGGUUAUAGAAAGUGGAAGCAGCAGCUGGGGUGUUCAGAGGGAACCUAUGGGAAGCCAGCGAGCACUGGCCCUCCUGGAGGGAUCCCAGCCUUAGGCGACUGCCACGUGGCAUCAGCAGAGCACGCUGCUAAGGGCCCAGCCCGCUCCGCAGCUAUCGGUGACUUACGGCCCAUCCUGCUGUGCUUCUCACGGGGAGCCCCACGAACUGCGAACACCAUCUUGAGACAGCCUCGGAAAGGCAGGGAAGMUCCAGAUCAGUAAAGCAAAUCAGACACAGGCAGCAGCAAGGACCUGGUCACUGCCGGAGCGAAAGGCUGAUUCARAGCUGGAGAGACAAAGCACAAAGCUACUAGAAAUGAGCCUGCCACCAAAURUGUUCAUUCACUUUCAUUUUAUCGGCAUGGAAAG